GUGGUUAGGGUAAGUGGGUGAAUAGGGUGAGUGGGUGAGCAGGGUGAAUGAGUGAUUAGGGUAAGUGGGUGAAUAGGGUGAGUUGGUGAGCAGGGAGGGUGAAUAGCCACAAGCAGAUGCAAUGCUGGUAAAUUGGUGGUGACGUCCCAAGGCCUGUCCGCAGCUUCUCUGUAAUAAUGCCAAGCUCCCUCAACCCUUAUACCCCUGCUGGGGUAUAAGUUGCAGAAUAUUGCACUGCAUGCUACUCAUUUAAAGAUUUAAAGGAGGACUGUAUUACACAUACUGAUUGAAAUGUGUCUUUUCCCCUCCAGAUUAGAGGCAGUGCAGUGAUAACAGGGAUUUCUCUAAUCUGAAUGGAAAAAAGGCAGGCAUACCCAAAAUAAUGUUUUUAAAGAUCCUCCCCAACUCCUCCCUCGGUGCUAUAAAGUGCCCCUUUACCAAAUAAUCCCCAGUUCUUUGCCUGCCUCCAGCAGGAGAGGUGGUCAGGCUUACCCCUUUUUGUUUUAUUCUGGAAGCAUGGUGAGGGAGCCGCGGCUCGGGAGACUUUGCUUCAAUCUGCCAGGAAGCACCGUCUGCUAAGGCCUCUGCUCAAUACACUGACAGGUGGAUCAUACAAUCACCCAUGUUUUAAGGAAAUAGACUUUUUUUUAUUUUUUAUUUUUAAUAGAAAAGGUACAGAACGAAGAGAUGCGGAUGGACUCGCAGGUCUCCGCCACUCCAUCAAAAUGUUUCCAAAGUGCUGGUAUCAGGGAUUUUGCAGC